AACGAACGCUGGCGGCAUGCCUAACACAUGCAAGUCGAACGAAGACUUCGGGCUUAGUGGCGCACGGGUGCGUAACGCGUGGGAAUCUGCCCUUGGGUUCGGAAUCACAGUUAGAAAUGACUGCUAAUACCGGAUGAUGUCUUCGGACCAAAGAUUUAUCGCCCUAGGAUGAGCCCGCGUCGGAUUAGCUAGUUGGUGAUGUAAAGGCUCACCAAGGCGACGAUCCGUAGCUGGUCUGAGAGGAUGAUCAGCCACGCUGGGACUGAGACACGGCCCAGACUGCGACGGGAGGCAGCAGUGGGUAAUAUUGGACGAGGGGCGAAAGCCUGAUCCAGCAGUGUCGCGUGAGUGAGGAAGGCCGUAGGGUUGUAAAGCUCUUUUACCCGGGAUGAUAAUGACAGUACCGGGAGAAUAAGCCCCGGCUAACUCCGUG
rnacentral:rRNA from 1 species